UAGGGAAUCUUCGGCAAUGGACGAAAGUCUGACCGAGCAACGCCGCGUGAGUGAAGAAGGUUUUCGGAUCGUAAAACUCUGUUGUUAGAGAAGAACAAGGACGUUAGUAACUGAACGUCCCCUGACGGUAUCUAACCAGAAAGCCACGGCUAACUACGUGCCAGCAGCCGCGGUAAUACGUAGGUGGCAAGCGUUGUCCGGAUUUAUUGGGCGUAAAGCGAGCGCAGGCGGUUUCUUAAGUCUGAUGUGAAAGCCCCCGGCUCAACCGGGGAGGGUCAUUGGAGACUGGGAGACUUGAGUGCAGAAGAGGGGAGUGGAAUUCCAUGUGUAGCGGUGAAAUGCGUAGAUAUAUGGAGGAACACCAGUGGCGAAGGCGGCUCUCUGGUCUGUAACUGACGCUGAGGCUCGAAAGCGUGGGGAGCAAACAGG
rnacentral:rRNA from 1 species